rnacentral:lncRNA from 1 species
AAUGAUUGAUAUUUACAUAUUUCCUAGGAGGGACAAUAGUUUGUCCAAAUAAGUGGAGACGCUUGCAAGGUUGAGCAUUUUAUCACACGGUUGUGGGGUGUGAUGUAGUCCAUCCCUAGUAACACAAUCUCGAACAAAAUUAAGGAAACCAGAAACAAUUCAUGGAGAAAAAUCGCAACGGCAAGCAUAUCAACAGCACUAACAUUAAAAGCACGUUAACAACAUCAUCGAGCCCAACCAAAAUUAACAGCGAUUCCUAAAACACUGCAAAGAGAACACUAGCAACA